UAAAGUUAGGUACGACAGUAAUUGUUU
rnacentral:piRNA from 1 species